rnacentral:rRNA from 1 species
CACGUAGGGUGCGAGCGUUUGUCCGGAAUUAUUGGGCGUAAAGAGCUCGUAGGCGGUGUGUCGCGUCGGCCGUGAAAACCUGCAGCUUAACUGUGGGCGUGCGGUCGAUACGGGCAUCACUGGAGUUCGGCAGGGGAGGACUGGAAUUCCUGGUGUAGCGGUGAAAUGCGCAGAUAUCAGGAGGAACACCGGUGGCGAAGGCAGCUUACUGGGCAUUAUCUGACGCUGAGACGCGAAAGCGUGGGUAGCAAACAGG